GGAAGAAGAAUAAAGCAAAGGUGGUAACUAAUGUUUGUGGAAUCUGGAUAAAGAAUAUCCAGGAAUUCUUUGUACUAAUCCUCCAGUUUUUCUGUAAGUCUGAAGAUCAUGCGUUCUUUCCCAGAAAGAAAAGAGCGCUUCUGCACCACCCUGGGCACCAAGGACCCAAACCCUCUAGCACCUCCCCCGCUCCCCUCCCCGCCCCCCCCCCCCCCCCCGGGGCACCAAGGAACCAGGAUCCCUUGCACAACCUCUGAGCACCACACUAGCAAGCUUUCUUCUACCCCAGGCCGCCCCCUUCUUACCCGCAGGGACCUCAGGCCAGCAGAGCAACGAAGGCCAGGAGCAGGUGCACAGAGACCACCAAGGGGC